rnacentral:piRNA from 1 species
UCCAGGGUCAAUGUCCAGCAAACACUGU